rnacentral:rRNA from 1 species
AUGACGAGUGGCGGACGGGUGAGUAAUGUAUGGGGAUCUGCCGAAUGGAGGGGGACAACAGUUGGAAACGACUGCUAAUACCGCAUAAUGUCGCGAGACCAAAGCGUGGGACUUUCGGGCCACGUACCAUUGAUGAACCCAUAUGGGAUUAGCUAGUAGGUAGGGUAAAGGCCUACCUAGGCGACGAUCUCUAGCUGGUCUGAGAGGAUGACCAGCCACACUGGAACUGAGACACGGUCCAG